rnacentral:lncRNA from 1 species
CCGUUCCCUGUCUUUCCUGCCCCCUGAUAAACCCACUUCCUUUCCCCCUUCUCUAGGAAAUGCAUUUCCAUUGAAAACGUGGGUGGAUAACCAUCUUAUUUUGCAAAAUAAAAUUCCUUUGUUGGGGGGGGAGCCUGGCUGGCUCCGUGGGAAGAGCCAACCUUGAUCUCAAGGUUUGUGAGCUCGAGCCCCUGCAUUGGGUGUAGAGAUUAGUUAAAAAUAAAAUUAUAAAAAAACAAAAAAAAAGACCCACAGCCCUCCCUCCGUUGCUUGUGUGCCAGGUUUCCGUAUAGGCUGUGCCUGCCCCCACCUGCUGCCCUGCAGACCCUGCAUGACCCCAGGGGAUCCUGUUUGCCAGCUCAGGGCCUUCACUGUCCCAAGCACUUGCCAAAGCCCCUGGACACGUGAGGCCGUGGCUGCUGGGAAGGGACGGCUUGACUGCGCUGUGGAUUCCCCGGGGUCGGGACACCACGGAGCCCGAGAAGGGGCACCGGACACCAGGCUCCCCAAAAUUCGUUCACUGUGGCUACCUGAGCACCCGCUGUGUGCCAGGCGCCUGGCCAGCCCUCGCCCGGCCCUCCCUGCACCAGCAGGCACCCAGCAGGAUAGACGUGGGCAGACAAGCGGCAUUUAAUGGACAUUUAUUUCACGGACAUUCACAGGCGACGGUAGCGGAAGAGCUCGUGCUGGCACACGGGGCAUGUGUGCUUCACGUCCAUCAGGCUGUCCACACAGAAGGGGAGGAGGCAGCAGCCCAGGAAGCACCUGCAGCCUCAGGAGCAGUGGGGUGGGGGUGCAGCCUCGACGUCCUCACCUGGGCCCCCCGCCUGCCCUUGCGCCUGCCCUGCCCGUCCGCCCCACAGGCAGCCCUCCCCCAACCCAGCAGGCCAUCUGUCCCCGGGGAUGCUCAGGGCCCCUUCGGGGAUAAAGGUGGGCGGGGGGGGGGGGUGCACUCACCCAAACACAAAGAAGCCUGUACACAGCAGCCAGGUGAGGGUCCCCGGGACCGGGUUGGUCACUGUGAUGAUGUAGUUCCCGCAGUAGGGACAUACGGACUGUAUGGGGGUAGCAGACCCCAUCCUAGGCAAGCUGCUGAGCCCUGGGGGUGGGGGGGCAGCUCAGACCCCAGCCCCCUGCCCGCCCUGCUCGGUGGGCCCUCCUGCCCACUCGGCUCCACCUCCCUUCACGCUGCCCUGUCGCCGCCCCCCCCCCCCCCGCCCCCU